rfam:Myotis lucifugus cont2.44205, whole genome shotgun sequence.
AAGACUAUACUUUCAGGGAUCAUUUCUAUAGUUUGUCACUAGAGAAGUUUCUCUGAACGUGUAGAGCACCCGAAACCACGAGGAGGCACAGUGUUCUCUCCUGAGCAUGAAGCUGGCUUUUGGUGUUGCUUUUGCAGCUGCCACCAGCCAUUGAUGAUCGCUCUUCUCUCCCACUGGGAGAGUAAGAGGGAGAGGACGCAGUCUGAGUGGU